CAUCUCCUGGCCUCCUUCCAUCCUCCUCUGCCCAGACUCCGCCCCUCCCAGACGGUCCUCACUUCUCUUUUCCCUAGACUGCUGCCAGCGGAACGCACAGCCGGCCCGAGCUAGGAACCCAGGUCCAGAGCCUCAACUUCAGGAUGUUGACAACAUUGCUGCCGAUACUGCUGCUGUCUGGCUGGGCCUUUUGUAGCCAAGACGCCUCAGAUGGCCUCCAAAGCCUUCACAUGCUCCAGAUCUCAUACUUCCGCGACCCCUAUCACGUGUGGUACCAGGGCAACGCGUCGCUGGGGGGACACCUAACGCACGUGCUGGAAGGCCCAAGCACCAACACCACGAUCAUCCAGCUGCAGCCCUUGCAGGAGCCCGAGAGCUGGGCGCGCACGCAGAGUGGCCUGCAGUCCUACCUGCUCCAGUUCCACAGCCUCGUGCGCCUGGUGCACCAGGAGCGGACCUUGGCCUUUCCUCUGACCAUCCGCUGCUUCCUGGGCUGUAAGCUGCCUCCCGAGGGCUCUAGAGCCCAUGUCUUCUUCGAAGUGGCUGUGAAUGGGAGCUCCUUUGUGAGUUUCCGGCCGGAGAGAGCCUUGUGGCAGGCAGACACCCAGGUCACCUCCGGAGUGGUCACCUUCGUUCUGCAGCAGCUCAAUGCCUACAACCGCACUCGGUAUGAACUGCGGGAAUUCCUGGAGGACACCUGUGUGCAGUAUGUGCAGAAACAUAUUUCCGCAGAAAACACGAAAGCUUCCUGAGGCCUCACCAGAAGAAGAUGCCGGUGCCAUGCUUCCUGUACAUCCUGCAGAAGUACGAACUCUUGAGCGUGAUAGUGUGUGCCUGUAAUCUCAACUACUCAGGAGGCUGAGGCAGGAGAAUUGCUUGAACCCAGGAGGUGGAGGUUGCAGUGAGCCGAGAUCACACCACUGCACUCCAGCCUGGGUAACAGAACAAGAGUCCGUCUCAAAAAAAAAAAAAAAAAGAAAAGAAAAAAGAAAAAAAGAAAACUCUCAAAUAUUUGGAAAUUGUUAAUAUACUUCUAAAUAACCCAUGGGUCGGAGAGAAAAUCUUAAAGUAAAUCAGAAAAUAUUUGAACUGACUGAACAUCAAAACAAAACAUAUCAAAAUUUAUGGGUUGCAGCUAAAGCAGUGUGUACAGGAACAUUUAUAGCUUUACAUGCCUAUAAUAGAAAAAAGAAAAGCCUCAAAUCAUACUCUAAGCUUCUACCUUAAGAAACUAGAGAAAGAACAAAUUAAACCUAAAUCAAGCAGAAGAAAAAGAAAUUAGAAAAGCAGAAUUCAAUGAAAUUGAAAACAGAAAAAAAUAGAGAACAAUCAAUAAAACCAAAAGCUUUGAAUUCAUAAACUUUUUGACAGACUUACCAAGGAAAAGAAAGAGAGAAGACAUAAAUUACUAAUAUCAGGAAUGAAAGAGGGGAUGUCACUUCAGACCCUCCAGAUAUUAAAAGGAUAAGAGAAUAUUACAAACAACUCUAUGCUCAUAAAUUUGACAACUUAGAUGAAAUGGACCAAUUUCUUGAAAGACACAAAUUACCUAAACUCGGUCCAGAAGAAAUAGAUAAGAGAAAUAGUCCUAAAUGUACUAAAGAAAAUUGAAUUCAUAGUUUAAAACCUUCCAAUGUAGAGAAGAAAACUCCAGGCCCAGAUGAUUUCUUUUCCUUCCUUCCUUCCUUCCUUCCUUUCCUUCCCUUCUUCCU